AUGUUACAAUUGCUGCAUGCCUUCCAAUCUUUGAAAGCCUUCAAGGCUCGGCACAAGAACAAGCUGGUUACUCUCACGAAUCGUUGCUCGCUCAUCAAAUAUUGCCCCAAGUUCAAAGACCAAUAUGCCGCUCGUAAGAAGAAAGGAGGGAAGGCGGCCAUGGCUGAUGAGGCUGACUUGGUCAAGAGGUCGAGGGGCAAGGCAAGCUCCAAGGCCGACGAGAAGGAAAGUGAGGGAGAAGAGGAGGAACAAAUGAAGAUAUACCUAGAGCUCCAAACGAAGAAGCUUGUCAUGAAGGAGGUUGUGAAGAGGAGGAAGCUUGACAUUGAGAAGGCCACAGAACUCAAGAAGCUCGAGAUCGAGGCCACCAAUGCCGACACCAAAGUAAAAGAGGUGGCACUCGCGAUCAUGAGCGUCGCCAAGAACAACACGUCAUCGGAGAGGAAGGCUUGGUUCGUGAACCAAAGGGGAGUAACAGAACACCUCCAACGGAGGAAAGCACAGCAAAAGGGCUGGUGCAGAAAGAAAAGAAAGAAAAUGGACACCCGCCGACACCAACACAAACCCAAGAUCCGCCAGCAACCGUGCACAUCAUCGGAAUCCAUCGUCAAGGCCUCCAAGAUGACGCCUCCAAGAAGGAAGUGGUAUCUAGAACACUACCGUCAUCCAAUCUGGCUCCGCCAGAUCUUAGGUUUUCACCCGGAGACCUCCGCCAUGAGGCAAGAAGAGCAAUAA
rnacentral:rRNA from 1 species